rnacentral:rRNA from 1 species
UACGGAGGAUGCAAGCGUUAUCCGGAAUGAUUGGGCGUAAAGGGUCCGCAGGUGGCAAUGUGUGUCUGCUGUCAAAGAAUGAGGCUUAACCUCAUCAAGGCAGUGGAAACUACAUAGCUGGAGUACGGUCGGGGUAGAAGGAAUUCCUGGUGUAGCGGUGAAAUGCGUAGAGAUCAGGAAGAACACCGGUGGCGAAAGCGUUCUGCUAGACCUGUACUGACACUGAGGGACGAAAGCUAGGGGAGCGAAUGGG